CACUUUCUCUCUAAACGCCUCCACCUUUUCCCUUCUGCGCUGAAAAAACCCUAACUUAUAACGCCUCCACCUUCAUUUUCGUUCGAUUGAACACAGGAAAUUGAAGAUACGGAUAGUUAUUUCAUAUCAUCUCAACUAUCUCUUCGUUCGAUUGAACACAGCCUCGAUUCCUCAUCUUCCAGACUUCCACCACCGAAGCUUUACUCUUUCUUUUUUUUUUCUUCCAAUUCCUCACCCUUAUAAUCGAGAUUAGGAAUUAGUUCGUGUAGGUGAUGCUGAUAGAGGAAACAGGCUUCUGGAAGACGUAGAGAUGGGGAGUUUAAUUUUAAAAGUUAGGGUUUUGAAUUUUAUUUAAGUUUCAAUUUAGUGAUAAACAAGAAGAAAUUAGAGAUUGGGUUUGGUUAUUUGAGCAUUAUAAAUCGAUAUGUUGAGCUAAAAUUGGAGAAUGAAGUGAGAUCAGAGGAGGAAAUUUAUAGUUCUAAGAAUAGAUGAUGGUGAUUGAAAAUAAAAUUGAUAGUUAGGGUUUGAAGUGAUGAUUCAGAAGUUCAAUCGAGGCAAAACAGGAAAUCAAAAUCAACUGCUUCAAUCUAACAGUUUGGAUAAAGCUAUUUCAGGUCUAAUUGCAGUCGAUUUUAAAUGGCUUCGUUGGGAUUGCAGAUUUCAAUUGAACUACUGUCUAGGUUUAUCUCCGGGUUCUCUAUAAUUCUUUCUUCUUUAUUGAACUUCUAAUAUUUGUAUCUGAACCAUGGCCUCAGUUUCCAUUCCAGGUUAGCUUUAUUGAUCAGUUUAUAGCAAACUAAUGAAUUGAAUAUUAGGCUGUCUUUGAUUGAUGUUAGAUUUGUCAGUGAGUCACUCAUGUGUGGACAAAUAUGAAUUUUUUGCUCUGUGUAUUCCAAAUAUGGACAAAUAUGGACAAAAGGGGGGAUGAAUGAGGAGACUGAUGGAAGAUCUAAGAAGACGUGAUGUUGAUCUAACUUUUCGUUUCCAACUUUUUAAUUAGGGCAAGGUGAAGGUUCUGUCAAGGAGACGAACCCCGUGAAUGAAACAGUCAGGUUUUCCAUGGAGUAUACUGAUGCAAGUCCUAUCGAUGAGUAUGGGUGAAAACUCCAACAACGCAGCUGGGCUUCUACCAAAUCCUGUCGCUGAUCCUCAAACUGGAAUGCGGGGAUUAAUAAACUCCAUACUACUCAUUCAUGGGCGUUCCUCGAAGUCAAUGUUAUUCCACAGUAUAAUCAACUGGUAAGGAAUCCAAACCUGAAGUGAUCGUUGGCAUCCGAGAUUCUGGAAGAUAUGCAGCUGAAUUUCCAGUUCAUUCAUAGUGUAUUGAGUACUGAUAUGGAAGCGCUUCAAAAUUUAACUGCUGAAUGUGAUUUGGAUUCAAAACAGGGGUCUGAUUAUGGUGAGAAAGAAGUGGUGGAGGGGAAUGUGUUAAUGUUGGAGUGGUUGGCUGGAUGGUUCUUGUGUGUGUCUGUGUUGGCGGUGGUACUCUUGUACCUGGAGGUUAGCUGCUGGUUGUGUUGUUUAUGCGCAUCUCAACUUCAUGUCCAGGUUGAAUUUUGUUGGAGGUCCUAUGUGUUGGAAUACCCGUACAUUUUCUGCAUCAGCCGGUGGCGAGGCCUUCUGUAAUGGACAGACAAUCCAUGUUAGCGAAACUAGUCGGGUGGAUAGAUCUCUUCUAGUGACUGAAUUUGGAUAUGAACAUGAUGAUGCAUGGGCAACAAAUAUAUAUUUAAAUAAUUUACUGAUAUCAGCAGGGUCUUGCGUAUUGAAUGCCAAACGCCGGAAUUACAUGAACUGGUAACUUUGUCUAAGCUCAUCAUAUGGUAUUAUUGAGAAGUUAAGCUUGGUUUUAUUUGUUCGCAGCUCACAGAGUUGAUGGCUUUAGAUUAUUUACGGUUAAAUUUUUGUACUUGGGUUUCUGUAAUGAAUACAUGGAUCACAGAAUAAUGUGGAUGAUUUGUAGUUUGAGAAUCGGAGUGUAUAUGAAAAAGAAGAAAGUGCAGGUCUGUGUGUCAGUUUUAAUUGUAUUACUGGAAGCCCAUUUAAUUGUAUUGCAGGCCUUUAAAUUGGAAUCCCAGGUCCACCAUAGUGACCCGGGCUAUCCAUAUUUUUUUA